GCUACCAUGCAGUCGAGCGGCAGCGGGAAGUAGCUUGCUACUUUUGCCGGCGAGCGGCGGACGGGUGAGUAAUGCCUGGGAAAUUGCCCAGUCGAGGGGGAUAACAGUUGGAAACGACUGCUAAUACCGCAUACGCCCUACGGGGGAAAGCAGGGGACCUUCGGGCCUUGCGCGAUUGGAUAUGCCCAGGUGGGAUUAGCUAGUUGGUGAGGUAAUGGCUCACCAAGGCGACGAUCCCUAGCUGGUCUGAGAGGAUGAUCAGCCACACUGGAACUGAGACACGGUCCAGACUCCUACGGGAGGCAGCAGUGGGGAAUAUUGCACAAUGGGGGAACCCUGAUGCGCCAUGCCGCGUGUGUAAGAAGGCUUCGGGUUGUAACACUUCACGAGAAGAAAGUCA
rnacentral:rRNA from 1 species